rnacentral:rRNA from 1 species
CCUUUUGCUUCGGAAUAGCCUCGGGAAACUGGGAGUAAUACCGGAUGAGGCCGCUCACUGUAGUGGUGGGGGGGGAAAGAUUUAUCGGCAAAAGAUCGGCCCGCGUUGGAUUAGGUAGUUGGUGGGGUAAUGGCCUACCAAGCCGACGAUCCAUAGCUGGUUUGAGAGGAUGAUCAGCCACACUGGGACUGAGACACGGCCCAGACUCCUACGGGAGGCAGCAGUGGGGAAUCUUAGACAAUGGGCGCAAGCCUGAUCUAGCCAUGCCGCGUGAUCGAUGAAGGCCUUAGGGUUGUAAAGAUCUUUCGUGGGGGAAGAUAAUGACGGUACCCCAAGAAGAAGCCCCGGCUAACUCCGCGCCAGCAGCCGCGGUAAUACGGAGGGCGCUAGCGUUAUUCGGAAUUACUGGGCG